rnacentral:rRNA from 1 species
UGAAGGACGUUACUAACGACGAUAUGCUUUGGGGAGCUGUAAGUAAGCUUUGAUCCAGAGAUUUCCGAAUGGGGAAACCCAGCAUGAGUUAUGUCAUGUUAUCGAUAUGUGAAUACAUAGCAUAUCAGAAGGCACACCCGGAGAACUGAAACAUCUUAGUACCCGGAGGAAGAGAAAGAAAAUUCGAUUCCCUUAGUAGCGGCGAGCGAAACGGGAAGAGCCCAAACCAACAAGCUUGCUUGUUGGGGUUGUAGGACACUCUAUACGGAGUUACAAAGGACGACAUUAGACGAAUCAUCUGGAAAGAUGAAUCAAAGAAGGUAAUAAUCCUGUAGUCGAAAAUGUUGUCUCUCUUGAGUGGAUCCUGAGUACGACGG